CUAGGUUUGCCUGCCGAUAUGAUGCAAUUUUUGCACGUCCCUCUUAAAUACUUGCUUAAGCUGCGGCAAGCCGGACAGCAGCACUGAAGCUCUGCUAUGGAUUUUCACACCAAACUGAGUUCGCAAGCUGGACUGAAACAGCCGUUAUCUUCUCGCAGACCCAUCACAGAGCAGCUUUACCGCAGCACUUUGGGCCAUUAUCCCACUGAAAGGAAAAUUCUCCAUGAAAGCAGGGUUGCAGGGUGGGGUAUGAAUCCAGAUGAUCGAGAAAUAAAGUUAAUGUAAACAUAUAUAAAAUAAGGGGAAGAGUUGCGUCUAACAGUGGCUGUUGUUUUUACGUUCCUGCUUCAGGGAAGAAAACCCUGCACAUUUUCAAGCAAAACAGAAAUGAAUAAAGGAUUUACUCAUUAGUAUGAUUCAUAGGCCUGUCUGUUUGAAGAGCUACAAUAGCAUAUAUGCAUCUCGACUGUUCUGGGGCGGUGAAGGAUAUCGACUCAUGAGUGUGUUUUGUGUUUUUCCAAAAAUGAUCAAGUUAAUCCUUCGGUAGUGACCUAAUGGACCCUGUCUGCCCUGAACAUGGACAUUUGUCCAACAGAUGUGUAUCUGUGCAAAGGCACAGUGGGAAUCAGCUCUCCAUCUGGAGGUCUUUAGGAUUCACCCUCGAUCUGAAACGAAUUCACCAAUUACGCUAUUAUAACGCUUUGAUUUUUAGGUUACUUGAAUAAACUAAAGCGUUAAUGGAAUAACAAAAAGCAUACUAGCUAUUAAAAAAGCUAACAAAAUGUGAUUCUGUUAUUUGACAAUCAUAACUAAAUUGCAAGAUGCACAUAUAAGCAUGAUUAUUAUGAUUAUUAUCAUAAAAAUUUUAAAAUUAUCAUUGUCAUCCUAAAAUUCAUCAGUACAGCUUUUACCCAUGUAUGAUGAUUGAAGAAUAUGUAUUACAUUAAUCAUUGAUACGCUAAGCAUGCUGUGUAAUAAUAUUUCCUCACCUACUCCUUAGAUAAGUCCCAGAAAUGUUUGGGUAUCACCGACUCUUGGGGCUACUUUAACAGUAGCACUAAUAUGAAAAAACAGGACAACACAUUCAAACCAACUGGGCACCAUUUCACAGCAGGGAAAACAGCUUUUAAUAUUAAUGAUGCCUGAGGCUUCCAACACUGUUCCUAAUAGCAGAGACACAGUCUUUAGAAUGACGGAGUCAGCAAAACUGUAAACACUGAGCUCAGUGACCUUCACUCAUUUGUAAUACUGCUAAUGUUCUUAUACAAAGCUGUUGUAAAGCCCUUUGGCUUCAUGUAUAGGAUAGAGAUCUGAAUGGGCUGACCAGGGCCUGUACCUCUUUGUGUCUCACUUAGUAAAUACAGU